AACAGUGUAGCUCAGAGGGAGAGCGUGAGGCUCAUGAUUAUCAUGUGCCCUCAAGGCCGCCAGAUCGACACUGGCUACUGUUA